rnacentral:rRNA from 1 species
CUACGGGCGGCAGCAGUGAGGAAUAUUGCACAAUGGGGGGAACCCUGAUGCAGCAACGCCGCGUGGAGGAUGACGCAUUUCGGUGUGUAAACUCCUUUUAUAUGUCAAGAAAAUGACGGUAGCAUAUGAAUAAGCACCGGCUAACUCCGUGCCAGCAGCCGCGGUAAUACGGCGGGUGCAAGCGUUACUCGGAAUCACUGGGCGUAAAGGACGCGUAGGCGGGUUGGAAAGUCAGGUGUGAAAUCCUACAGCUUAACUGUAGAACUGCACUUGAAACUUCUAAUCUAGAGUAUGGGAGGGGGAGAUGGAAUUAGUGGUGUAGGAGUAAAAUCCGUAGAUAUCACUAGGAAUACCUAAAGCGAAGGCGAUCUCCUGGAACAUUACUGACGCUAAGGCGUGAAAGCGUGGGGAGCAAACAGGAUUAGAUACCCUCGUAGUC